UUAAAAGUGGAUCAAAAGGCACCACAUAUCCAACAAUAGCUGCAAAGACCUUGACCAACCAUCUCCCAAAAAUUCUUAGAAGUUCCUUCUGUAUAAGAAAACCAUAACAUCUGAAGACUUCAUGAUCGCCGAGAGCUAUAAUUUGUUCCCCUCCUGUGUGACAGGGCACACGUUGUCAAAAACACGUCACUGAACUCUUCUUGCUUGCCUUGAGGAAGGAUAGAGAUGGCAGGGAAUGGGGAGUAUUGCAAUCACAAACAUUUGGCUGGGCGAGGAAGGGGGAAGCCACAAUCUGAAUCCAGGAAAGUGUGGUUGCUAAAUAUUUACACGAAGCAAAAAAAAACCCAAAGAAAUUUAGCAGCCCUCAUCCUGAUUGCAUGUGGGUGCGGGAAGCCUGGAGGGAGAGAAGAAUGGUGCUUUGGAGGGAAAUGGAGUUUAAAACAAGACAAAACUGCAAUGGAGAGGAGAGUUGUGGAAAGGGAAUCUUCUUUGAGCAAUCAGUUCAGACCUCUGAAACAAUAACCAGUCUCUCUACCAGCUGACUGCUAGUUAGCUCUACAGUGCAUUCCGUGAACCUAAGAAGCUGAGAGGAAGAUUACUUAUUUGCUUUGUGCAUUCCAUGUUUCUCAUUAGGAAAAAAAACAUCCGCUCAGCUUUCAGAUAUUUGCAACAAUUCAUGCUGCACAGGAUCUUUCAUCCUUGCCAAUAUACGUUGAAAUAUGGGCCUGGAAAAGAAUAAUCCCACAGCAGAUCAAUGAAAUAAUAUUUACAUACUUCAAAGGAUGCUUUGCCUCUUUUCUCCCCCUUCGUCUUCAGCACUAAGUGUCUUGGAUAUUUCAGCUCUCCUUACAAGUUUUUCUAAUUGUAUUUCUGCAUUUCAUGGUUAUUUUCUUAUUAGCAACAUAAUUUUCAUCUGUUAAGCAUUUGCAUCCUCUAUUAGAAACAUCAAAGGCCUAUAACAUUUUAUGGCAGUCAUCUCCAUCAAUAUUCACCAGAAAGAAAGAAAGAAAGAAAGAAAGAAAGAAAGAAAGAAAGAAAGAAAGAAAGAAAGAAAAUGUAUCCAUAUAAAAUCCGUGAUGAAUAUAGAAAUUAACCCAAGUGCUUGCCUUAACCUGAGUCAGACCGCUAGUGGCACAAACUCUGUGUUGUCUACUCUGCAGCAGUUCUCUAUGAAAGGAAUUCUCAGGUCUUCUGUCAGAGACUCUAUAAUGUGGCCUUAAUGGACUCAAAGCAUUUGUUCUUUCAUUGAGCCAGCAUUCCCCUCCAUGGUGCUUCUCAGAUGUUGUUGGAUUCUAACUUGCAUCAACCUUGACCACUGGCCAUGCCAACUGGGGCUGAUGGAAGCUGCAGUUCAUGAUAUCCUGAAUGAUGCCAUCUGGAGAGACAGCACAGAGCAAUGAUUUCAAUGGGCUGUAAUAAUCUUCUUUAACCUCUUGCUGACAAUUCUGUGUCCAGGGCAGUUGUCUACCAGCUCCAACUGGUACGCAGACUGAGACCCUACCUGCCCGCGGAC